UAGCCUUAUACAUGAAGGUGGUAUUUCUGCAUUGUGAUGCUAUCUAACUGAUUUGUUUGAUUUAAUUAAUUUUUGAAAAAGAUGUUUUCUUUUACAGCUUAGACCACUGUUUGAAGCUCAGCUGGGACUGCUUCCCAGUGAUGUGCUAGAAAAUCGAUGCACCCUCUGUGUGGGGCCCACACAGAAUCCUACUCGGGGCUUUCUUGCCUGACCCCAAGGGCAACGCUUAUAUUCACAACAUCCCUGAAACCCAGAGUACAUACCUUGCUUCUCUGAAUUCAUACUCACUUACCAGGACACCAAGCCAGCAAAUCAGAUGCACACAACUCGCCUGUCUGUGCUGCCUCCAAGCUCUGCCUUCCUGCAACAUGUGCUCUUCUCUCCAGGUCAGAGCAGGGCAAGAGUGGCUCCCGUCCUGACUCAGGGGUAAUGGGACUGAGAUGGUACUGACUCUUCUACUGCCACCACUGCAGUUACAUCUGCUGGACGAGAGGUAUCUGCUCAUUUUAUCUGGACGCCUUUGUUAAUAGUCUCCUCUGCCCAGGCAGCUGUGCCUGUGACAGCAGAACAACAUGUUCCCUCCAGUACAGCCUGUGGAGUUAUUUCAUGUCCGACAAGAGAUAAAAUGUAAGCUACUCAAAAGGAACCUCCAAAUCACCCUGUAAAAGGAAACUGCAGAGAGACAGGCUGCUGGCAAGAAGAGAGAUCAAAGGGCUAUGUUAAGGACCUAUAGACCAUAUUUCUCUUUCAUCGGGCCAGAUUAUGCAACCUGCCAGGUGCGGAAUACUUGCAGUUUCUAAGGGGUGAGCAAGUAUUGCAGAUAUGCGUGGAGUGAAUACCUUCAUUUCAAUGACACACUCGGAAAACAAAGUCAUUUUGCACGGAGGUCAGGAUGUGGAGGGAACAGGUGCCAGACGCAGAUAUUUCAGAUGGUUCUUCCACACUUUGUAGCAGGCAAGGGAAAAGAUUUAAUCUUCAUUGUUACAGGGGUCGGUGGAUAUUUCCCUUCCCUGUUUAGCUAAUAUUUACUAAAAAGGGAGGGGGACAACCUGGUAAUAUAUUUUUCAGUUUAAGUGUUCCUGCAGAGCAGGGCUGUGGGGAGCUGGAGCCUGGCCCUGCUGCGGCCUGGCUGAGGCCGGGGCUGACAGGCCCGGGGCUGAUGCGGGGUCCUGGGCCUGGGGCACAUGGGGGAGCCCUAAGUCAAGGGACAGGGACACGGCUGGGGGUGCCCUCCUGGCCCUGAUGCUUCUUAAGGGUGGGUUUAAAUGGAGAAAGCCACUCAUCCCACCCUAAAGCAGAUUAAUGGUUUCCACUGGGUGCCUAACUUUCAGUAGGCUACAUUCACAUGAGGUUAAUCCCCCACAGCAGAUCUCGGCUUAGUCUGUCUAAUGCUUCAGGACGAAUUUUAUCAGGCUGCAUUCUCACUAGCAGAUUUGGGAAUCUUAAAACUUAAGUGCUUGUGUUUUCUUUCCUCCAGCCCUUUGUCACUUGUGUGACUCGUGUGAGCCAUCUGGUAGCAGAUGUCCUUUGAGGAGAGUUCGGCUGCAAAAAGGCAUUAAACACUUUGGCCUUCUCAGCAUCUUCUGUUUAUAUCUUUCCUCCCCUCAGAGCAGCAGACCAAAGCUUUCUCAGCCUUCCUCUUACCAGUAGUGCAAUUACAGAAGGAUUUCCUGUUACUCCUUACAGUCAUAGCCUUUCUGCUUUUCUCCUCUGUAACAGUGUGUUUACUGUUGCAGCUAUGGUGGUUUUUUUAGCUGCCGUCUUCUGCAUCUGGAUGGGUAGCAGAACCUUCCCCAGUAGCGGCUUGCUUAUCCAGCCUCUGUUCUCCCAGCCUGUUUGUUUCCCUGUGGCUUUACCUAUCACCCUUUGAGGAUGGUGAAAUCUGCUUUUUUGAGUAUCUAUUGCCUCAUACUUUUCCUCUUUUCACAAAAUAGUGAACUCCGCAACUGCAGAAGCAGAAGGCUGCUCCCAUCAUGACCUCUACACUUGUUGAACAGUUAACCCCAUUGUAGUAUUUUUCCAAAUACUUAAAGUACUUCAUUACCAACAAGUCCUUUGGAUGUAGAAAUAUGAAAGCAUUCAGAAAUCAAAAUUAACUUCAUGUCAUGCUUUUGUGUGCUCAAACAGUAGCCCACAGAUGUGUUAACAAAUGAAGACAAUAGAAAAAAUUCUUGCUUUUAAGUUUUUAAAAAUAUAAGUCACCCUUGGUACAGUAGACUCAGUUCAAAGAUAAAGGUAAAUACAAAUCUUAGGUCUUUUGUUCUAAUUGAGCAAGCUGUUGGAAAUGUGAAAACUGUACAUAGCUUUUCAAUACAUUUUGUACUUAAUUUAACUUUUUUUUUUUUUUUCCCCAAAAAAAUAUAUAAUAAUUUAAAUCUAUAGGAUCUCAGCUGCAGCCCAAUGAAACCAAUGAAUAAUUACUUGCAUUCACUGAUGGGUUUUCACUAUGACUGAGGUAUGGAGCAAGAUGCAAUGUAGAAUGUUCAGUCUUUUAUGUUAAAUCUCAGUGAACAAAUUUGGGAGGGAUAAUUUUAUUUCUUGCUUAUAUACAUAAUGCUAUUAUCUUCAUGAUUACCAUGUCAUAUUUUAUUGGCUUUACAAGAAGCAUAGAGUAUUCUUAGAAAACACAACACAUUAUUAAUGACCUUGAACAGGGAUCUUGUAAAAUGUAGACUAAAAUACCACUCUAAAGUAAAAAUAAUAGUUUCUUGACAUUGUCUUUAGCUUCUCUGUCUUUCAGAGUAAUUUAUACUGCUUUAAAGUCUUAACAAACAAAUAAAUGUUAUGAUAAACAAUAAAUUACCAAAAUAUUGAUGGAAUUCUUUAUAAGCACAGUUCAGUGCUAAGAACAUAAGAAAAAAGAAAGAAGGAAAGAAGGAAGGAAGGAAAGAAGGAAGGAAAGAAAAAGAAAGAAAUGAAUGCUAUUUUGUUUUUUUUUCUGUCUUUGC